GUUGAUAGGCUGGGUGUGGAAGCGCAGUAAUGUGUGAAGCUAACCAGUACUAAUUGCCCGUGAGGCUUGACCAUAUAACACCCAAAUGACUUGGG
rnacentral:rRNA from 1 species